AGGAUGGAAAGAAAGAAGAAUCCAAAUGGUUCAAACACUUUCUUCCACCUUGGAGAUGGAUGAAUCACCCUACUACUCUCUGCACCAUCUUUCCCAGCUUCUUAGAAGGGGCUGCUCUGGCCUCUCUCGCCGUGUUUUCCUGAACAUAGAGCCUUUCCCAGGGACCUCAAGCCAGGCUGGGCAGCCAGAGAAAACAUGGCCCUUCCUGGCUGGAUCUUAGGGAUACUUCUGGAAGACAGGCAUUCAUGAAGAGGAAUUUACGAGUGAAGAGAUGGCAGCAGAAGGAAGUUGAUCUUAACUCCACUUGCCUGCUCAUCACAGGUCCCCAGCUCCAAGCACAGAACCUGGAACAAGGAAGAAGUUGGCUUCAGGAGUGAACAGCAAAGACAGCAGCGGAGCUGCUUUUGGAUGAAACACUUGAAUUCCACGUUUGAAACAUAUAAGAUUGCAUUUGCUUUAUUGAAGAUGGAUUUUUUUCCUUCUUUUUUUA